UACGGAGGGUGCAAGCGUUAUCCGGAUUCAUUGGGUUUAAAGGGUGCGUAGGCGGCUUUUUAAGUCAGUGGUGAAAUCCUAGUGCUUAACACUAGAAAUGCCAUCGAAACUAAAAAGCUUGAGUCAAGGAGAGGUAAGCAGAAUUUAUGGUGUAGCAGUGAAAUGCUUAGAUAUCAUAAGGAAUACCGAUAGCGAAGGCAGCUUACUGGCCUUGUACUGACGCUGAGGCACGAAAGCGUGGGGAGCAAACAGG
rnacentral:rRNA from 1 species